CUUCGGGGUGUGACUGCGUACCUUUUGUAUAAUGGGUCAGCGACUUAUAUUCUGUAGCAAGGUUAACCGUAUAGGGGAGCCGGAGGGAAACCGAGUCUUAAUUGGGCGUUAAGUUGCAGGGUAUAGACCCGAAACCCGGUGAUCUAGCCAUGGGCAGGUUGAAGGUUGGGUAACACUAACUGGAGGACCGAACCGACUAAUGUUGAAAAAUUAGCGGAUGACCUGUGGCUGGGGGUGAAAGGCCAAUCAAACCGGGAGAUAGCUGGUUCUCCCCGAAAGCUAUUUAGGUAGCGCCUCGUGAAUUCAUCUCCGGGGGUAGAGCACUGUUUCGGCUAGGGGGCCAUCCCGGCUUACCAACCCGAUGCAAACUGCGAAUACCGGAGAAUGUUAUCACGGGAGACACACGGCGGGUGCUAACGUCCGUCGUGAAGAGGGAAACAACCCAGACCGCCAGCUAAGGUCCCAAAGUCAUGGUUAAGUGGGAAACGAUGUGGGAAGGCCCAGACAGCCAGGAUGUUGGCUUAGAAGCAGCCAUCAUUUAAAGAAAGCGUAAUAGCUCACUGGUCGAGUCGGCCUGCGCGGAAGAUGUAACGGGGCUAAACCAU
rnacentral:rRNA from 3 species